CUCGCGGCCUAUCAGCUUGUUGGUGAGGUAAUGGCUCACCAAGGCGUCGACGGGUAGCCGGCCUGAGAGGGUGACCGGCCACACUGGGACUGAGACACGGCCCAGACUCCUACGGGAGGCAGCAGUGGGGAAUAUUGCACAAUGGGCGGAAGCCUGAUGCAGCAACGCCGCGUGAGGGACGACGGCCUUCGGGUUGUAAACCUCUUUUAGCAGGGAAGAAGCGAAAGUGACGGUACCUGCAGAAAAAGCACCGGCUAACUACGUGCCAGCAGCCGCGGUAAUACGUAGGGUGCAAGCGUUAUCCGGAAUUAUUGGGCGUAAAGAGCUCGUAGGCGGUUUGUCGCGUCUGCUGUGAAAUCCCGAGGCUCAACCUCGGGCCUGCAGUGGGUACGGGCAGACUAGAGUGCGGUAGGGGAGAUUGGAAUUCCUGGUGUAGCGGUGGAAUGCGCAGAUAUCAGGAGGAACACCGAUGGCGAAGGCAGAUCUCUGGGCCGUAACUGACGCUGAGGAGCGAAAGGGUGGGGAGCAAACAGGCUUAGAUACCCUGGUAGUCCACCCCGUAAACGUUGGGAACUAGUUGUGGGGUCCAUUCCACGGAUUCCGUGACGCAGCUAACGCA
rnacentral:rRNA from 1 species